rnacentral:rRNA from 1 species
UAAAGUCAAAUUAAUUGGUUAAAGCUAAUAAAUAAUUACUAUUAAGUACAACAACUCUACUUAUUAUUGUAAGAGUAAAAUCUUUAUAAAUAAGAUAGGAAUGUGUUAAUGUAACAUUAAUUCUCUUACGAGGCGCUAGCAUAAAGACUAGGAUUAGAUACCCUAUUAUGGGCGUGAGUAUGAAAGUUUAUUAAGUUAAUAGCCUUAAUUAAAGCAAAACCUAUUUACUAUGGCGGCUGUUAGUCUCACCAGAGUCGUAUGUCCUUAAACGAAACUGCGCGAUUAUCUUACCUUUUAACUUUUGCUAAUAUAAAAUAAUUACAUUAUAGCAAUCUGGCACGUCGCUGUACUAAAAGUGAAGAUUUUAAAUAACUCAUCUUCUAAUUACUUAUUAGCAUUUAUUAAUAACGUACAAGUCAAGACGCCGUUUUAAGAGGCUUAAGAUGUACGAUUUAAUUGAUUUGAUAGAAUUUAUAAGAAUGAAAACUUUCUUUAUUAAAAUAAUUUGGAAGUAAAAUAGGGUUAUUAUUCUUAUUUGAAAUGAGCUACUAAUAAGU